rnacentral:rRNA from 1 species
AUGGCCGGCCUCGACGAGCACGGCCUUGAUCCGGCCUCAGCCGGAGGACCUCGAGCCGAGGAGUGCGGCCUCGAUCGGGACUCGGCAUCUGGGGGGACGACGGAGGAGGAGGGGAAAGCAGGGGAGCAGCAGCCAGCAUCUGGGGCGGCGGCGGCUGGACUCUUCUCCUGUCUCGCCUCGGCCGCCUCCUCUCCUCCCCGCGUCGUCGGCCCCCUCCUUCGUCCUCAUAGCCGACCAUCUCCGUCACUUGGGCCCCAUGGCAACGGCAGGGUCUUCCGGUCGGGAUUUAGACGAGGAAAAGGUGAAAUCGAGCGUCUCGAUGGUGCCAUGACUGAUACACGGCGACGGCUAGCGUCUGUGAGCGCCACACAUGGUGCAGCAGGCUCGGCGGGCAGCGGGCGCGGCAGGCUCGGCAGGCAGCGGGCGCGGCGGUCAAGGCCAGGGGCGCGGAUUGGGGGAGAUGCGCACACGAGGAGCGAUGGCGACCGCUUCUGUUGCCAACACCGAGGACCUUUUUGCUUGCAUUCUCGUGUCUUUUGGCAAGGAGAAAAUUAUCAUUUGGAGGGGAAAAGACAGAUGAAAACAUGCAAUAUAGUAUAUGCAAUUGACAUACCCUUCAGUUCUUGA